CGAGGUGUAGCGCAGUCUGGUCAGCGCAUCUGUUUUGGGUACAGAGGGCCAUAAGUUCAAAUCCUGUCACCUUGA
rnacentral:tRNA from 1 species